UGAGGAAUCUUCCGCAAUGGGCUAAAGCCUGACGGAGCAACGCCGCGUGAAUGAAGAAGGCCUUCGGGUCGUAAAGUUCUGUCUUUCGGGAAGAAGACUCUCGAUGUAAAUAAUGUCGAGAGGUGACGGUACCGGAGGAGGAAGCUCCGGCUAACUACGUGCCAGCAGCCGCGGUAAUACGUAGGGAGCGAGCGUUGUCCGGAAUUACUGGGCGUAAAGGGCGCGUAGGCGGGUAAUUAAGUCAGAUGUGAAAGCCCCAGGCUUAACUUGGGGAUUGCAUUUGAAACUGGUUAUCUUGAGGGCAGGAGAGGAAAGUGGAAUUCCUAGUGUAGCGGUGGAAUGCGUAGAUAUUAGGAGGAACACCAGUGGCGAAGGCGACUUUCUGGACUGUACCUGACGCUGAGGCGCGAAAGCAUGGGGAGCGAACA
rnacentral:rRNA from 1 species